GACAGAGGUCCCGAGCGUUAGGCGGAAUCGCUGGGCUUAAAGCGUGUGUAGGCGGAUUUGUAAGUACCUUGUGAAAUCCCACGGCUCAACCGUGGAACUGCUUGGUAUACUGCUUAUCUUGGGCCACUUAGGGGUUACCGGAACAAACGGUGGAGCGGUGAAAUGCGUAGAUAUCGUUUGGAACGCCAAUGGUGAAAACAGGUAACUGGGAGUGUGCCGACGCUGAGACACGAAAGCUAGGGGAGCGAACGGG
rnacentral:rRNA from 1 species